AAAUAAGAAGCGAUUUUUGCAUUCAGUUUCGACCUGAAAACUAGAUGAUAUUCAUCCUUAUUUU
rnacentral:tRNA from 1 species